UCGGGAUGGUGGCGGCUGUCCCAGCAUGCACCGGGAGACGCUUUUGACGAGUUGACAGUUCGAGCGAGGAGCUAAUAAAAAGCGCCGUGAUUCAUCCAUAUGGACAUUUUCUCGCUCGCCCCACUCGGUCUGCUUUUGAUCGUUUCAAAGACACGACAUUUUAAAUUCGUUAGAUUCCCAGACACGUGAAAACCUCUGAAUGAAACAUGCCCAAGUUAAGCGCUUUCCAGCAACGGCGCCUGAGUUUGGGUUCUUCCUCGUCUUUCCGCUCUGGAGGAUCCAUUUCAUCAUCCGUCUUCAUGGAAAACAGACUGUGCCUGGAGGGGAAGCCGUCCGCGACAUAAGGCAGCUGCAGAGCUGACUGGUUCCGGAGCGGCCUGCUCCUCCUCCUCCUCUUCCUCCUCCUCCUCAACUUCCCUCGAGUCAUUACAGCAGCGAGCGGCAGACAGUGGGAAUGGAUGAGUUUCAUUCCAAAGCGGCACUUCCACUUGUCUGAUCAUUCAAGGUCAUAUCUAGCAGAUCAAUAAGACUACGCUGAUGUAUGGGGAAGUAGAUGACACAUGUGUGUGUGUGUGUG